UUCCGCUGAACUCGCGCCCGAAGCUGUACCCUAAUCGCACACGGCAGUUUUCUUCUCCCCCCUCCCGCGUACAAAACCUAAGCCGUGGCCAAGGGAAGCCAAAGCUUCUCUUCUCCUUCCCUCCCGAGUCGCUCACCUGACACACGCAGACCUUCUCUGUGCCUACCCCUCUUGCCGCGUUGCCCUCAGGUCGCCACAGCCGACAGCGUCGUCACCAGCCGAGCCCUCGAUCAGGGGAGAUCAGGAACACCGAUCGCUUCUAGCACCGCCAUCGCCUGUACCCUAGCACCGUCGCUGACCACUGCGGAUCCACGAUCAGUUGUCGCGAGCCUGAAAUCGCCACCGCCGAUCGCGCUGGAAGCCACCAUAUAAGUCGUUCCCUAGCCUUUGUUUCCAACUCCGAUAAGGGCCUUGCCGUACUAAUCUCCGUUAGAGUUCCGAGACCAGCGCUCGAUGACCAAGGAUCUGCCCCCCGACGCCACUACCUUUUCCCCCCACAGCGAGUUUCUUCCACCAUCGGCAAAGGCAAGUUGUCCGGCGGUGGAACACCGGCUGAGGCUUCAGAUUUAGUAACUUCACAGUAGCACCAUCUAUAGAUCUUUGGCAAGAGCUACCUCCGGAUAGCCAUUUAUUCCUUGACAACAAUACCACGAUCGAAGUUGGGACUUUGAUUCGAGAUGGUGUCUCGAUGAGAGAUCUAUUUUAGAUAUGAUCCUCUUAUUGGAGGCAGGUACUUUGACUUAUCAUUUUAGAUUUGUCAUUUGAUAUGCAUAGUAAUAUUUUUAACAAAUAGUAAUGAUUAUGUUUCUUAUCUACAUCGGUUGGUCACUACUCGAUACCUAUUAUAUGCUUGUUUUGUUUACUUGUUAUACACUUCAUAUUAGUACCUAUCUUAUUAUACAUGCUUAUAGGGGUAGUGACAUAACCAUGUUUAUUAUGUUUAGGAUCUAGAUUUUCAUACCUUAUCUAACCUGUGUACCUAGAUCAUUGAUUUGGUCAAUGUAUUCUAUGGUACAUAUUUUGUAGAGAUGGAUAGGUUCAGGAUAUUUUCCAUGCUUAGUGUCAUGCACCAUCUUACAUGAUUACAUGUUGUGCGAUAGUCGGCUCCAUUAUUGUUGAGCACAUCACCAGCUACAUGGA